rnacentral:ncRNA from 1 species
GUGAGCCGUGUAAUAGGCGACCAUUUCGCGCGGUUCGGGGGGCACUCACGUCAGCCGCCGGCGCCCGACUGCGUCUUAACCCCUAU